rnacentral:sRNA from 2 species
CAGGACUGAAGCGGAGUGUAAGAACACCCUAGGCCGAGAAAAAUGGUCCCUCGACGAGGUGCCCAACAGCUAGUCCCUGCAUCUCCCGAAAUUUCAAAGAAAAUGCUCCCGGGAAUAACAAUUACGAAAUAAUCAGCGGCAACAGCGCAUCAGAAUUGGUUAUCCUACCCGAUGACGCACAAGAAUGAGAGAAUAAUCAGUUUGUUGCUUGAUUUUUGUUUCUGUUGAUCUCAUUCGCAAGGCAGUUUAGCUUGAUCCCCAAGCUGCACCUAGCGCUAAAUUAACCCGCGCUAAGUAUAUCAAUGUUACUAGCCGAGUGGACCCAAGCCAAUUCUUGCUUCUUCCCAGGCCCAAGGGUACAACCUGUGAGGGUGAUGGAGAACGAGAUGGGGGAAGGAUGAUGCCUAUAUUAUUCGUAUCUAUUAUUUUACACAUGGCGGGAAGAAGAUCUCAUGACGGACAGUUGUUCCAAAUGCUUGGACUGCCCAAAUUUAUUUUCGAGGUCCGAAUUAGGAAGAUAAUUGAUAUCACAAUGAUGCACAUUGGAUUCGCUACUAACCCACUCACCAGCGCCA